ACCAAUAGGAUACCAACACGAAGGAAGAAUCAUAAAAUCACUGUUUCUGAAUUCGUCGGGGUUUGAUCGGACUAGGAGUUUAUGACAUCGUGGUGGCGACGGAGUAGGAGGCUUGGUUAAGGUUUGAGUUUUCGGGAGCUAUCUGCUCGAAAUCGGUGACAAUGGCGCCGAGGCUCGGCUCCGGCGACGCAUCCGGCUUCAAGUUCCUUAUCUUUCUGGUCAUGAUUUACGACCUCAUCGCCGUGCUUGUCCACUUGUUCCCUAUUCUCGCCGUGAGAUUCACGCUUUGGUUUUCAGAUUGACGCAUGAUAGAUUUCUGAUUCAUGCUUUUCAAAAUUCGGUAAACUUUUUCGCGAUUAUAAGUAGUGGUGAGAGAAAUGAACGGCGGUGGAGAGUGGCUCGCGGCUUCGGCGACGUCUGGAGACUGGAUGUUUUCUCAAGUUUCUGGAGAACAGACCGCCGGCGAGGAAGUUCAGGAAGAACAAUUGAUCGUCAUAAACUUAUGAUUAUAGCUAUGGAUGUUGCAUUUGGGAUGGAGUAUCUGCAAGGAAAAAAUAUAGUACAUCUUGAUAUGAAGUGUGAAAAUCUGUUGGUAAAUAUGAGAGAUCCACAGUGCCUGUAUGAAAGAUUGGUGAUUUGGGAUUGUAAAUAAAAGUCAAACAACAGACAUUAGUGUCUGGAUCUGUUCAUGGAACUCUGCCUUGGAUGGCACCUGACCUUUUAGUGGGAAAAGUCAUAUGGUGACAGAAAAGGUAAUACUGAUGCCAGCUUUUUACAUAUGUUGAAGUUUCAGGCUCUUAUGAUUAUUGACUCUUCAAAUUGGUGACUAGCUUCCGAGUUGUCAUGUGUUGUUAUUUUGAUCUUGUAGAUUGAUGUUUACUCAUUUAGGAUUGUUAUGUGGGAACUGCUUACUGGCGAUGAACCCUAUAUAGAUAUGCAUUGUGCUUUUAUAAUUGGUAAGAACCAAUGUUUUGGGGCUUAUGUUCUGUUUGUGUAUUGUGAAUGAUCCCUUCCAUUUUACAUCUGGUAGGUUAUUUCUAUAGGUUACUGUUAUCAAUUUUUUAAUAUAUGCACUCCAAUCUUAGAGAAGCUUUACGUUAUGUGCAGAUAGAAAUUUGAUUUAAAUUUCAUUUCUUGCUUGGAAUUGUCGUCACUAUCGUCUACUUCAUAUUUGUGCGUGUCAAAUUAUCUUUAUGAAGUGUCAAAUAUGUGGUUCUUACCAGCAAUGCUUCAGGAUACCCAAUAGGAGCUAUGAUGACACGGCAGCAAGCUUUCCUUUUGAAGACGUGUAUAUAAUAAAUUAAAUGUGAGUACCAUAGUGAAAGCUAUGUCAUGAGAUAUAGCUUUGUGCUUCCAAAUUAGACUACUGCACCAAUUUUUGUUAUUUUUCAUUUUCAGCAUAUACUUCUUCAUCUCAGAUGUUACAUUCAGAGACAUCAUUUUAUAUGUCCGGCUUAUGCUUUCGUCCAAUGUAAACUUCAUCAUUUUAUAAUGGCUAUGUAGAGCACGGUAGCCUAAUAAACCUCAUA